rnacentral:rRNA from 1 species
AAAUGAAUUGACGGGGGCCCGCACAAGCGGCGGAGCAUGUGGCUUAAUUCGACGCAACGCGAAGAACCUUACCAAGGCUUGACAUACACCGGAAAGCAUUAGAGAUAGUGCCCCCCUUGUGGUCGGUGUACAGGUGGUGCAUGGCUGUCGUCAGCUCGUGUCGUGAGAUGUUGGGUUAAGUCCCGCAACGAGCGCAACCCUUGUCCCGUGUUGCCAGCAGGCCCUUGUGGUGCUGGGGACUCACGGGAGACCGCCGGGGUCAACUCGGAGGAAGGUGGGGACGACGUCAAGUCAUCAUGCCCCUUAUGUCUUGGGCUGCACACGUGCUACAAUGGCCGGUACAAUGAGCUGCGAUACCGUGAGGUGGAGCGAAUCUCAAAAAGCCGGUCUCAGUUCGGAUUGGGGUCUGCAACUCGACCCCAUGAAGUCGGAGUCGCUAGUAAUCGCAGAUCAGCAUUGCUGCGGUGAAUACGUUCCCGGGCCUUGUACACACCGCCCGU